GUCUACAGCCAUGCCACCCUGAAUGAGCACGAUGUCUGAUCUCGGAAGCUAAGCAGGGUCGGGCCUCAUUAGUACUUGGAUGGGAGACCACCUAGGAAGACAGGUGCUGUAGGCA
rnacentral:rRNA from 1 species